GUUUUCCAGCUUUUCUCUUCUACUCAUUUUUAGUUUCAUACCAUUGUGGUCAGAAAAGAUACUUUAUAUAAUCUUUUUUUGUCUUCUUGAAAAUGUUGAGACUUGUUUGGGGACUUAACAUAUGAUCUAUCCUAGAAAAUGUCCCAUGUACGUUUGGGAAGAAUGUGUAUUCUGCUAUUAUUGGGUGGAAUGUUCUGUAUGUGUCUGUUAGAUACAUUUGGUCUGUAGUGCUGUUUAAAUCUGCAGUUUCCUUAUUGAUUCUCUGUCUGGAUGAUUUAUCCAUUGUUGAGAGUGGGGUAUUAAAGCUCCCACUAUUGUUGUGUUGCUGUUUAUUUCUCCUUUUACUUCUCUUAGUUUUUCCUUUAUGGAUUAAAU